GGGGAUUUAGCUCAGUGGUAGAGCGCUUGCCUAGCAAGCGCAAGGCCCUGGGUUCGGACCCCAGCUCUG
rfam:Rattus norvegicus chromosome 14, whole genome shotgun sequence.